rnacentral:lncRNA from 1 species
GUCUUGACGCUGGGUUCCGGCCUAGGGUUCUGGCUUUCCUCCUGGGCUAGUGAACGCGGCGAAGUCCUCCUCUUUCUAAUCUCCAGAGCCGCAGUUCCAUCCUCUGGGUCAGCGGCUUACCCUGACUGGGCUGCGGUAUCUGCCUUCCUUCCCCCAACAAGGCGACAGGUAGUCGGGGCUGGGGCCGGAACUGACUGAGUGGGCCGCAACUGACUGAGUGGGCCGCGGCUCCCGCCUGAGGAGGCUAGGAAGGACUGAACAGCAGCCGACUUCCCAGGCUCUAAAAAUCGUGCCUCUGAGUUAGAGCUACCUCAAAAGCAAGACCAAGCAUGAGAAAUGGAGUCUUUUGGCCAGUAUUGGGGUGUUCGGAAUUCAAGCGUAUGAGAGAGUGGACGGUAGCGUUGAGAAUUUUCAUUUGAAGAUCUCGUCUUAACCACCCCAAGUGUAGUCAGAGGCGGCGUUUUCCCUGCGAGAGUGCCCUGGAACAAAGCAAGGAUAGCGUGGGUUAGACAUACCUGAAAUGAAAGCGUCUUACUUUAUCUAGGUACAUAUUUGCGUCAGUAAGGCGCAACGCCAUUUCUCUCUUGGAAUUCAGAAGUGAAAUAUGGUGACUGGGACGCCUGUACAUUGCUUUGACUUAAAAAUUGAAGUCCAUUAUUCUGACCGAAAGUUAAUCUGAUGAUUAAUUGGUUAAACAUACUAUCGUUGCUAAUUAGCAUAAUUAUUAUUUACAAUAAAGUGAGCUAAAUAGCUACAACUAAAAUAUAUUUAAAUUACUGUGAUAUUGUGAUGCUAAAGAUGUGUUGAAAUUAAUAUCUUGAAUUUCUCAACCCUGCCUAAAUGCCUCUGAGAGUAAUUAGUAUAAUUAAAAGUCACUAGAGAAAGUGAAUGACUCUAAUAACAGGAUAACAAAUUCUUUUCAAGUCAGAUGGUUUCCAGUUCUUUGCUUUCAACAAAAUUAAUGGUGGCCCAUGAAUUGUCAGCUGAUGAAGGAACACUAUUUGGUUUUUGGCAUGCAACUCGGAAAGAAACCAAACGAUUGAUUGACAUGCUUACAACAAAACUACUAGCAUUCUCACCUAUUUAUGUAAAACCAUUUCUCAGCACUUGUAUCUGUGAAAACAACAGAAUUGAAAAUGAACCCUGUUAAUCUACCAGUAGGAACUAUUCAUCCAGAUAAAUGAAUUAAUUGGUGGGUCAGCCCCAUCUAUCUCACUAAGAGAUGUGUUCCCAAUAGAAUUUCACCUUUUAUAACUGUGUGUUAUCAAUAUUUGCAAUCGUGUCAUUUUGAUCCAUUAUAUACUAAAGAUGAUUGUGAUGAUUACUCACUUCAGAAGAAUUCCAGCGUAGAGCCAUAAAGUUACACGAAAUUUUUUAAGGUUUACUACAUAUGUCAUAUUUUUAUUGCGAAGAAGUGAUCAAGAAAAGGUUGUUCAAACAUCAAAGUACUAUAUUUGAAUAACAUUUUUUGUUAGAGUACAAUCUAAAUAUGUUAGAGAUAAUAAAAGAACAAUGUUGAAGAGCUCAUUAGUGUAUGUUUUAAUGCAUAAUGGUGGUUAUUCAGUUGUUAUGUAGAUUCUCUUGGAUACAUUAUAAAGAGUGAUUUAACAGUUUUAUCUUA